GUUUGAUGAGAAAAAGGAAAAGUAUUAAAAAAGAAUUUUUUUCCCUCUUAUCAUAUGUAUUCAAUUACAUGGAUAUCAAAUGACAUAUAUAUUAGAAAAACAAUUGACAUGAAUUAUAACUUUUGUUCAUGUCAUAAGCAGCUGAAGAAUUACAUAAAUUUAAACAGUUUUACAAAAAUAUUAGAACCCGUUUUCAAUACUUCCAACCUCGUAUAUAUCUUCCAGAUGGAUUAUUAUAACUUAUUUUAAACCAUAUCCCACUCAUUCUGGCAGUCCAUACACGUACUUGACCACAUUGAGGAGCCUCUGUAUUUUGACUGUAUGCUUCUACGUAAUUACGAUACCUCAUGUUAAGCCCUUGCUUAAAGAGACAAUGCCAUUUUGUUAUAUUUUUUCCCUCGUCCUGAAGAUGAAUGGUUUUAAUAGCAUGGAAGUUUAGGUGUUGGACUCCUAAGUCUUUUUUUGUGUAGCGACAAUGAUAUUGGAGAAUUCUACCAGGACCGAGAUCGUUUAUGAUUACUAUUGCAUUUUUCUCGCAAGCUUCAGUUUUCGUAGAACAAAUAGCAGUAACUAAUAUAAAAAAUAUUAAACGUAACAUUUCUCGGAUCUAAAUUAAUUAUUGGAGAAACAAGGGCAUUAACAAGUAGUAUUUAUAAUUUUUUUUCUCUGUGUGUGUAAGAAGCUUUUUCUUUAUAUAAUAUUAACUAAGUUUAGACAAAAACAUGAACAAAUUAAGCCUUUGGUUAGAAGAGAUUUUAGGGUCGAAAUGUAUGCUUAACCAUGAAGAAUAAAUCAAAUGAACUAACCUUAGACAUUAAAAUUGACCACAAAACCCAAACUUAACCAUAUUAUAAGUUUAAGAAGUUUAUCUAGUUUGACUAAAAACUUUGAAAAAAUAACUAGAUUGAUUGUCAAUCGAAAUAGAUAACUAGAGUAAACUAAAUUUUCUGUUAAAACACUAAUUAACCUUCAAUCAAACUUAUUAUAACCAUUAUGCCAUACCUAUAAAAAAUUAUAUACAAAUUUGAUUCUUUAAUUAAAUAAAUAAAAAACACAAAAUUAAGAAACAAAAACCAAAAAACAUAAUAAGUCUCGAUUUAGGUUUUUCGUUUCUUAAGUUUUUUUCUCUCUCACAUAUUUUCCAAUUCAUGUUUUAUCUUUUUCGAUCUUUCUACUAAACCCUAGCCAUCUCUCUUUGAAUCUAAUGCUCCCACAAAAGAUGGCGACCAUUUAGACUAGAUUUAUUUAACUGCGAAAUACUUACAUCUAUGUGUGUAUCAACUUCAAGUCGCAUUUAAGGUUCCAUGAUCUUCUCUCCUUAUCAUGUAUACGUAUAUGGGUAUUUUCUCAUAUCCAUUCUCUGGACUUCCCCUUACCAAUUCUCUCUCUGGAUUACUAAAACCUUUGUGGAACAUACCAAGUAUAUCAUCAGUUGCUUGUCGAACACCUGCAUAAAGGUCUGUCAUUGAACAUGUAUGUUCCAAGACAAACACACACACAUGGAAUUUUGGAGAGUCGCUUAAUGGUGUAGCUCAUAUCCUCCACAUUCACUUUUUAACACAAGACUUGAAAAACAAUAUAAAUGGUGACGAUUUAUGAACAUAAAAUCAAAAUUUUAUACCAUAAUUGUUGUCUUCAAUCGUGUCUCCAAAUGAUAUUUUGUUUCAUAACAUUGCAACCAACCAAAUCCAAAGAAGACAUUUCUAACUUUGAAUAAUGAUCAUCUUCUUUUUCUUCAAUAAAAAUACCUAAACUUAUCUUCUUCAUUGGUAAAUUAGGUUUUUCUUCUUCUUGUGGUGGAAACCCGUACAAGCUAAAAUUCCCGUCAUCAGAAUCUGUUCCAUCAGAAUCGUCACAAUAAUCAAAGGUAGAUUCUCAUCAUCAUUGUCUUCAUCAGUCCUGGUCUUCAUCUUCAACGGCUUCAACUUCCUGAAACAACUCAGUAUCUUCCUUCAUCAAAUUAUUUUUGUUACCUUUGUAUCUUGAUGUCAAUGACACCAUCCUUGUCAUUUUUAUAAGAUUCAAUGCAACUUUCUUCUUCACUUCAACACAAGUCAAAUUGUAUCGUUCUUCAAUUACCCCAAAAAAGUGUGAAAGUGUCUUGAAUUACAUAUAAUAAUGGGUGGUGUAUCACGCGGUCUUCGAAAUCUUGUAGCUAAACACAAUAUUACAUACUCUGUUCUCCAGCCUGUAACCCUCUAAUAGCAUUUGUUAAGUGAUAUAUUUACACAAUUUAUAGUUUUUUUUCGUUACCAGAUAUGUUACACUCCUAUUUCCCUUUGUCCUUACCAGAUAUGUUAUACUCUUAUUUCCCUUUAACCAUACAUCUAACCAGUGUCCCUAAGGCAAGAUAAUCACUAAUAGCCCACAACAAUAUAGUUCUAAGUGUGCAAUUCUCCUUCAUAUAAGAAUCAUAAACCUCUAUACAUUCUUUCCACAGACCAUUUAGAUCAUCUAUAAUAGGUGCAAGAUACACAUCUAUGUUGUUGUGUGGUGCAGUUGGUCUAGGGAAGAGCAUAGUCAUCAUGAUGUUCCCAGCCUUCAUACACAUAGUCGGCAACAUGUUGUAGUUGACUAACAACAUCGAUCAUGUACAAUACUUUUUUCUGCAUAGAGAACGAGUUCAUCCUAUCUGUAGAAAAGUCGAGUCGAAGGUUCCUUGGUUUAGUAGAAUACUUUGAAAACUUAUCUUUUAUUUGAGACCAAGUCAAUGAAUCAACUGAGUGUCGUAUUGGACCGUCUACACUAGCAUUGUUGAAAUGCCAACACAACUCCUAAGCAAUCCUUUUUAAUCUAAAUAUCCUCCUAAAUCUAUCCUUAGAUCGAAAAAUACCUCUGAACCUUUGCGGGAACCCCUUCUUUUCCUCUCUAGUAUGCUUAUCUUACUUCCAUCUCGAAGCACUAUAUCUUGGGAAGCUAACAAACUCCUCAAACAUCUUUCGAUAAAGGAUGCAAUCAUGUGUAAAUCAAAUCAUAACUAAAACCAAAAAGCUUCAAGAGCUUCUACAUCUCAUGAACAGAUUUUGGAAGAACAUUAUCCGCAUGUAACAUGUCGUGAACCAAUUUCAUGAACUGAUCAAAUUAGUUCUUGGAUAUACCACUUUUAACUUUUAUGUAGUAGAGAGCCAUGAUUGUAGACACUUUAGUAUAGUUGGGACACGUCGAGUAGAGUAGAGUUCAACAUCCAUCAACUUCUACCUAAACUCAGAUUCUUCUUUACUUUCAUCAUCAUCACCCUGAUCUCCACUUUCAGUCUAAAAAAGUGGCGUUUGAUGAGAAAAAGGAAAAGUGUUAAAAAAGAUUUUUUUUCCCUCUUAUCAUAUGUAUUCAAUUACAUGGAUAUCAAAUGACAUAUAUAUUAGGAAAACAAUUGACAUGAAUUAUAACUUUUGUUCAUGUCAUAAGCAGCUGAAGAAUUAUAUAAAUUUAAACAGUUUUACAAAAAUAUUAGAACGCGUUUUCAAUACUUCCAACCUCGUAUAUAUCUUCCAGAUGGAUUAUUAUAACUUAUUUUAAACCAUAUCCCACUCAUUCUGGCAGUCCAUACACGUACUUGACCACAUUGAGGAGCCUCUGUAUUUUGACUGUAUGCUUCUACGUAAUUACGAUACCUCAUGUUAAGCCCUUGCUUAAAGAGACAAUGCCAUUUUGUUAUAUUUUUUCCCUCGUCCUGAAGAUGAAUGGUUUUAAUAGCAUGGAAGUUUAGGUGUUGGACUCCUAAGUCUUUUUUUGUGUAGCGACAAUGAUAUUGGAGAAUUCUACCAGGACCGAGAUCGUUUAUGAUUACUAUUGUAUUUUUCUCGCAAGCUUCAGUUUUCGUAGAACAAAUAGCAGUAACUAAUAUGAAAAAUAUUAAACGUAACAUUUCUCGGAUCUAAAUUAAUUAUUGGAGAAACAAGGGCAUUAACAA
rnacentral:lncRNA from 1 species